GAGCAUUACAUUGUCAGAUCCACUCAAGGUAUCAAGCCAUUGGCUGAAUGGAGAAGGGAAGAGUGACACUGGGGUCUAGCUUCUUGGGAUGAAAAGUCAGCCAAGACAUAAGUGCAUUGAGUACUCAUGUUUCAGGGCCCUCUUUAGGGAGAACAGAAGGCUGACUAGUGUCCGGCCAAGCUGGAAGCAUCUGUUUUAUCUACUGCUCUCUGUUACUAAUUAACUAUGGGCGCCCCUAUUGCCAACACCCUUGUGCUCAAACACAAUUAAAUUUUAAAAUAACAUGACUUUAGGAAGAACUGUCCAAAGUGCAGUGGUCUGUGGAUGGGAGUUGCCAGGGUGUAGGCAGCAAUGAUAGCUGAGAUCAGAAAUCCUUUCUGCCUGUUUACUUUGACCAAGAAUCGGACCCAAGUUCUCCCCUGGAGUAGAGAAGGAUGGGGAAUCUUCUAAGCUGGGUGUGGUGAUCUCUUUAAAAUCUCAAACAUGAGGCCAGGCGCGGUGGCUCAUGC
rnacentral:lncRNA from 10 species